rnacentral:rRNA from 1 species
AGAGUUUGAUCCUGGCUCAGGGUGAACGCUGGCGGCGCGCUUAAUGCAUGCAAGUCGAGCGUGAUCGUGGCUUCGGCCACAAUGAUAAAGCGGCAGACGGCUGAGUAACGCGUGAGUAAUCUGCCCUCCGGUGGGGUAUAACCUCGGGAAACUGAGGAUAAUCCCGCAUACGACCUGCAUCCCUUGGGGUGCAGAUGAAAGGCUUCGGUCGCCGGAGGAGGAGCUCGCGUCCUAUCAGGUUGUUGGUGGGGUAGUGGCCUACCAAGCCGAUGACGGGUAGCUGGUCUGAGAGGAUGACCAGCCAGAGGGGGACUGAGAACGGCCCCCACUCCUACGGGAGGCAGCAGCAGGGAAUCUUGGGCAAUGGGCGAAAGCCUGACCCAGCGACGUCGCGUGGGGGACGAAGGCCUUCGGGUUGUAAACCCCUUUUCCGAGGGAAGAGAAAGGACGGUACCUCGGGAAUAAGCCCCGGCUAACUACGUGCCAGCAGCCGCGGUAAUACGUAGGGGGCAAGCGUUACCCGGAAUCACUGGGCGUAAAGUGCGCGUAGGCGGUUGGAUAAGUCUCUUGUGAAAGCUCCCGGCUCAACUGGGAGAGGUCAAGGGAUACUAUUUGACUAGAGGACAGCAGAGGUAAGCAGAAUUCCCGGUGUAGCGGUGGAAUGCGUAGAUAUCGGGAGGAACACCAGUGGCGAAAGCGGCUUACUGGGCUGUAUCUGACGCUGAGGCGCGAGAGCGUGGGGAGCAAACUGGAUUAGAUACCCAGGUAGUCCACGCCCUAAACGAUGGAUACUAGGUAUGGGGGGUAUUGACCCCCUCCGUGCCGUAGCUAACGCGUUAAGUAUCCCGCCUGGGGACUACGGCCGCAAGGCUAAAACUCAAAGGAAUUGACGGGGGCCCGCACAAGCGGUGGAGCGUGUGGUUUAAUUCGAUGCUAAGCGAAGAACCUUACCUGGGCUUGACAUGUUGGUAGUAGGAACCCGAAAGGGUAACGACCUCGGGGUAACUCGGGGAGCCUUCACAGGUGCUGCAUGGCUGUCGUCAGCUCGUG